GGGGUGUUAGCUCAUUUGGUAGAGCGCUCGCUUCGCAUGCGAGAGGUCCGGGGUUCGACUCCCCGAUACUCCA
rnacentral:tRNA from 1 species